CCCACCAACCACAUUUCGCAUCCAAUUUCUCUCCCCCCCUCUCUCUCUCUCUUUCUCUAUUUCUUAUCUGUUUUUGUGUUAUUUUAUUUUAUAUUUUUUUUUUGCUCCAUUCCAUUUCCUUUUCCUUCUUCUCCACAUGAUUCUUUUCCCUCUCACUCUCUCUUUCUCUAGGAUCAUUUCCCCUCUUACAAUAGGAGCUCUUAAAUUCUGCCAGCAACUUUUUCCCUCUCUCGGCGACCUUUCUUUCUCAUCUUCGUGGCUUCGGUUAUCUACAGAACUUAUUAGUAGGGCAAACGGUGAUCGGAACCCAUGCCAUGUGAACACAACCCCUUUUUGCAAUCUUCCCUCAAACCUAUCCUCACCUACGGUACGUGUUCUUAGGGAAGAUAACAAACCAAACACAGCCGGAGAAAGAUGGGCGCAUGACUUCACAGGUCUUCAAAAGGACAGGCAAUACAGUUAAAACCUCCAUACCUUAUGCCCUUUUUUCGCAUGUUUGGAUAUGGAGGACCUAUUGCAUCUAUGCCUUUAGGCAUGAUCUUGUUUCUUCGAAGACAAAGAAUUCCAAGAAGAAUGCUUGAUGCAAUGUCUUGAAGUAACACAUCAGAAUACAUUUUUCUAACAUGAUUGAAGAAUUAAUCAACAAGGGGCAACAACUUGAUAGAUGAUAAGAAUAAUGCAACAGAAAGAACAAUUUAACAAUCAUUCUAUUUGCAUACUACAUAGAUUGAGUAUGAUACAAAAUUGUAUUCGAAUUUUGUUAACAAUCAUUCUAUUUCCAUAUUUUCAAUCCAAAUCACCACAUUUCAA